AUCUGGACUGCUCUUGCUAUGAAUCAGUCUUCGUUUAAUCAUUGAAUAAAUUGUAUAGAAAUCUAAUCAAACACUAACAUAACAGUCUUACCUGACUCUAUUGGCUUUGAAUUACAUUUGAUACCUGAACUGGAAGACAACGCUUUAGAGUUGCCACAUUAGCACACCGAUCUGUGGAUUAUCAACAACUUAUCUAAGAUAAGUUUUGCAGUUGCUGGAAUUUCUGAAACUUUGCUGCAGAGGUGAACACAAUAUGGAAGCAG